rnacentral:rRNA from 1 species
GACGAACGCUGGCGGCGCGCUUAACACAUGCAAGUCGAGCGAAGCGGCGGACGGGUGAGUAACACGUGAGUAACCUGCCUUAGACAUUGGGAUAGCCUCGGGAAACCGGGAUUAAUACCAAAUGGUCUAAGAUGGACUCGCGUCCCAUUAGCUAGUUGGUGGGUAACGGCCCACCAAGGCGACGAUGGGUAGCCGGCCUUAGAGGGUGAACGGCCACAUUGUAACUGGGAAACAGUCCGAACUCUGCGGGAGGCAGCAGUGGUGAAUGUUGCACAAUGGAGGGUACUCUGAUGCAGCGACGCCGCGUGAACGAAGAAGGCUUUCAAGUCGUAAAGUUCUUUUAUAUGGGAAGCGGUACCAUAAGAAAAAGCCCCGGCUAACUACGUGCCAGCAGCCGCGGUAAUAC